rnacentral:rRNA from 1 species
CCUACGGGUGGCAGCAGUGGGGAAUAUUGGACAAUGGGGGGAACCCUGAUCCAGCCAUGCCGCGUGUGUGAAGAAGGCCCUCGGGUUGUAAAGCACUUUCAGUGAGGAAGAACGCCUGGUGGUUAAUACCCAUCAGGAAAGACAUCACUCACAGAAGAAGCACCGGCUAACUCCGUGCCAGCAGCCGCGGUAAUACGGAGGGUGCGAGCGUUAAUCGGAAUUACUGGGCGUAAAGCGCGCGUAGGUGGCUUGAUAAGCCGGUUGUGAAAGCCCCGGGCUCAACCUGGGAACGGCAUCCGGAACUGUCAAGCUAGAGUGCAGGAGAGGAAGGUAGAAUUCCCAGUGUAGCGGUGAAAUGCGUAGAGAUCGGGAGGAAUACCAGUGGCGAAGGCGGCCUUCUGGACUGACACUGACACUGAGGUGCGAAAGCGUGGGUAGCAAACAGGAUUAGAUACCCCGGUAGUC